GAUGAACGCUGGCGGCGUGCCUAAUACAUGCAAGUCGAGCGAACAGACGAGGAGCUUACUCCUCUGACGUUAGCGGCGGACGGGUGAGUAACACGUGGAUAACCUACCUAUAAGACUGGGAUAACUUCGGGAAACCGGAGCUAAUACCGGAUAACAUGUUGAACCGCAUGGUUCAACAGUGAAAGACGGUCUUGCUGUCACUUAUAGAUGGAUCCGCGUCGCAUUAGCUAGUUGGUAAGGUAACGGCUUACCAAGGCAACGAUGCGUAGCCGACCUGAGAGGGUGAUCGGCCACACUGGAACUGAGACACGGUCCAGACUCCUACGGGAGGCAGCAGUAGGGAAUCUUCCGCAAUGGGCGAAAGCCUGACGGAGCAACGCCGCGUGAGUGAAGAAGGUCCUCGGAUCGUAAAACUCUGUUAUUAGGGAAGAACAAAUGUGUAAGUAACUAUGCACGUCUUGACGGUACCUAAUCAGAAAGCCACGGCUAACUACGUG
rnacentral:rRNA from 1 species